AGCUGUCCUUGCAUUAGCUGUAGAAGAGUGGUUUUGUCCAAAGUUCCCUUAAUAUCAGCUCUGCAGACGGUGUGAAGUGAUUACUGUUCUGAACGCUGUUUUUAUGCCCCUCCUGCAAUACUGCGAAUGAGCUGUUAAUGCAGUUUUACAAACAUGUGCUGAGCUAAAUGUUUCUGAGCUGCAAGUUCCAACUGUUCUGUGAUUUUAGAUCUGAGGAAGCUCGGGGAGCAGAGGUUAACUCCUUUGGCUGAGCCACAGACCAGCCUCUUCCUUCUGGUGCAGUGUAAUCUGUAUACCUGUGUUUGCAGAUGCAAAUUGGUCUUACCUGAUUUUAUCCCCCGGAGGGCAAACAGUUCAGAGCUGUACAGCAAGGCCAUCAAAGCAAUUUUAAUGUUUGCGGCUUCUCAAUUACCAGGAACGUACGGAGGUAUGGAGACACAGUGCUGUUAGUGCUGUUAAUUUGGGGAAAUUAUUAGAGGUUGCUUCACGCGAUGGUAUGGACUGUACUUAUUCCAGAGGAGUCAUUUCUAUCUUGGUAAGAAAUGAGAUCACAGAAUUUCUGCCCAGAUCAGUGUUGUUGCUCUCUGUUGAUGAAGUCUUUGAAAAGGACCUGUCUUCCUCACUGAUCUCACACUGUAAUGUCUUCAUUCUCCCGACCGGUUCAGGUCAGUGAUGGAAUAUAUAAGCCCUUGGGAGCCACAGAGAUGUGUUUGUGUUGUCUGGUGUGGUACCUGCUCUGCUCCUUGUCAGUACCUUGGCAACCGGUGAAUGAUUUCCUAGCGCAUUGAGGAAGAAGAAGCCAGAGAGUCGUGUGAAGGCCAGAAGGCAUAUUUUUCUUCCCAGCAGAUGAACCUGUUAGCUGGGAGAUGUCUUUUCCCUGUUGUGAGGAGAAAUGACUACUAUUUCACCACACCAAGGGACAAAAUGGAAUCCACAAGCAUUAUUUUCCUUGAAUAGGACUAGAUUUAGUCUUGGACUGACUGUGGCUGCUGAGUCAGUCCAGGUGCAUCUGAAAAUUUCAUAGUAAUGUUCAGAAAGAGCUGACGACGGCAGGAGCAUCAUUGCCUCAGCUGGGACUAAAGCUUCAGAACUUUUGUGGAGGUAACCUGAGGUUUCAACUGGCAAGCACCCUGGUGGCUAUAACUAGCCUUGCCUCCUUCAUCAGACAUCCGAAAGCUGCCCUGUAUCCUGUCCAUAUCCUGAAUGAUCCUGCUGAACUUACGAGAAGCACAAGUCAUGGCAAGCUGUGAGUUAGGAAAACCGGUGUCAAGUCCCACUCCAGUGUGUGAAGCAAGGCUCCUCUCCUCACUCCCAACGAGCUGGUAAUUUGGGGAGGAGAGCAGGAAAAGACAAACUGGAACAGCGUGCCAAACCGGGAUUGCAAGAGACAAGCGCGUCGUGAUCAAAGAGAUUAGGGUUUUAAUACCUUCCCCACCUGUAUCCCUCUUCGCGCAAAGUGUGCCAAGGAGCUGCAAGUCUGUGACACCGACUCUGCCAUCCGUUCUGUGAUGAACCUGGUAAGCCACGAAGCAUUAUUUUUGACUGCCGAUCACGCAAGCUGUUCGGGAGCAAAAACUUGAGCGCGGGAGUAGUUUGGAUUCGUGGUACCGGUUCCUGGAUCAACCUCUAGUUUUAACAUCCCUUGGGAUAACAGAUUACAAAGAAGGAAGAAAGAAAGAAAUGCAUCUGGGCUUAUAUCCAAUUGGAUUACUGUCAACCACAUCCAGCUGAGAAGGGAAAAGACAGAUGUAUUGAUGGUCACUGAAAUGAGAUGGAACAAAAGACGACAACCUGAGCAGAGAAGAAAAGGCACAACAGCUGCUCCUUCUCCUCUCUUUCUCCUUCUGCCCCUGGGCCAUGUCCAGGUUUGAUUUUUUCACGCCCACUUGCCUUGUUCAGCUGGAUCAGGAGUCAAACGGGCUGCGGAUGGAGAACUCCCCAGCAGAAGUCACUGACGAUAGCAUUGGCAAUUCCAGAUCUUUGGUGGCUCCCAGUCAUCUGUCAAAUGUUAAGUCUCAAAAGCCCUUAUUUAAAAUUCAAAGGCAAGAAACUUUGGCCUAGAAGAAUGUGGAUAUAUUUAAAAACAUCAGAACCCGAAACCUCAGCAAGCCAACCAAAUAAUCGAACAAGUUAAUCAGCAUGCUGCCCGUCGAUCUUUGCUCUUAUCAUCGGAAGUUUCAGAGGCACAGCUCAGGAAAAGAUGUGUGUUAUUUUGUUUGAAAGAGAGCAAGAGUGACAGCGAUGCUCCUUGGGAGGGCCUUGUCCUGCGGAUGGCUUUCCAGUCAAAACCAGUGGGAUUUGGACUUGCAGCUGCAUUUCAAUCAACCCGAGAAAGUUUCCUUGAAACGAGUGGCCCAGAUGUUGGCCCUGUUUAAAAAUGAGCUUUAACCUGGAGCUUCCCCGUCAUCGUUCCCAUCCCCUGGAGCACCGAAGAAGCAGUAGCAGUGACGAGCAAACUCUUCCAGAGCCCCACUUUGAAACGGACACCCAAAGGAUUUAAUUAUUUUCCCCGGGCCUAAUGUUUGACUAUUUCCAGUGCAACUCUGGCUGCUCACGCAUUAGUUUCAGUUGAGAUUGUUGGCGUGCCGCCAGAGCGAGGAAGUAUAUGGAUUAAUUAUAGGCCUGGUCACUUGCUUCACCUAGCGCCAGCUCCCUGGAUUUGUAGCUAAUUUCACGUUGGCAGGCUCUAGGCUUGUGACGGUGGAAAUGGGAGCGGGCUUGUACAACACCGAUGUAAUAAAUUCUGAAUGCCCCGCUCGAUAUUCUGCAAAAUAGAUUGGAAACGCAAAAGUAGACUUUGCUCAUUAAAUCCAUGUACGGCUCUGGAAGGGAGUAGGGAAGAAGUGAUCGGGUCCUCCAGCCUCUUCCAGCUCCCCUUCCCUAGGGCUGUGAUGACUUACAGAAGGGGAACAGGAUGUUGGCGGUAGGCGAUAGGUGACUGCUGGUCAGGGAAAUACGCAUUUUUUCAGGUCAUUUCCAAAUAAAGCGAGGCCAGCGAUCGCUGGCAGUUUCUCUUAACUGAGGUGCUUUUUCUCAUUGCCUGUUGCCUCCGCUCACUCCGGAUUGUUGUAGGUUA